GCCUUCUGUUUCCAUUCGGGCCUUCAGGCCUUCAACAGAUUGGAUGAUGCUCAUUCAUGCUGAGGAGAGCCAUCUGCUUUCAUCUGGCGUCAGCACCUAUUCCAAUGCUUAUCUCAUCUUCGGAUGUAAAUCAUCUCCUGCAUUCUGGAGCAGAGAGGCACGGAGAAAAAAAACCAAGGACAGAAAGCAGGCCUCCUUGUCACAUGGUUUUGGUGUCAUUUUCCUCAUGCUGAUGACUUAUCGCUUGCCAAGUUCCAGUUUUUAUCUGAUCAUCUUUGCAUCAAUAAUACAUGAAGCUGAGAUCUUCUGAAAAGAGGAUACUUCCUACCCCCACCCCCCACUCCCCCGGCCUCACUGAAUGCUUUGCUUUUGCCAGCAAAAACUUUGAUUUGGAUUUAAUAAUCCGUAGUCCUUUUGGUUUGAUCACACUUCGCAGGAAACCCCAAAAAGAGCCAUGUGGCCACAUCUCCACCGACGUGG
rnacentral:lncRNA from 1 species